rnacentral:lncRNA from 1 species
UUUUACCCAAUUUCCCACGCCUGGCCAGCCCAAUUCCCUCUUCAAUAAAACAAUACCUUUCCCCGUUAACAUAAAAAAGGCUAAGGCUGAAAAUCGUAAACCUUCCCCUUUCCUGAUAGAGAGAAACAAUGUUGCUCUCUGCCCUCUUCAACAUAGACAAAAAUGGACUCCUCCCCUCUCAUAGAGAACAAUCAGAAACGACCCACCCCCUCUUCUCCCUCUUCACUUUCACAUACACCCAGGAUAAUAGCAGCUGCAAAAUACCAACAAAAAGAAAAACCAGAUCCACAAAAUCAAAAGCUAAAAAUAGGAAGAAAAAAUUAGAAUUUUCAAUGGAGAUUUGAAGAACUGAUUUCAAAUCUUGAUUUCCUCUAUUUUUGGGUCUCUGAAAGUUGUUCUGGACUUGAAUUUGCCGUUCGAUUCUCUCUGACUUUGCUGUUUGCUGGAACCGUUACUGAGCUUCGUCCUCAUUAUUUUUCGCCUAGCAGGUACUUCUCUUAAAUUCUGGAUUGUCAAUUGAAUAGGAAAUGUGUCUCUAAUGGAAGAUGCAUGUUAGUUGUGAAGUUAUUGGAAUUAAUCUCGUUUGGCUCUAAAUUUCUGUUUUUCUAUCAAUGCUUUAGCAUUUUGAAUUACUAGUUUCUUAUUCUGUUUUAACAUUCAUAGAUUCGAGGAUGUUCCUUUGAACCUUUUGAUCUUUUCAUUUCUUACUUAAACUUCUUUUGGAGGGGUAUAGGUGUAAGGUUAAUCGCUGCCAAUCCGAUUGUUAAGCAUUUUAUCUGCUCGUACAAAUAUGACGUUCCCUUUGCAGAAAUUUGAUGUUGCAGAAUGGAAUUUUAUUGUUAAUUUGUAGUUUAUGAUUUUUCCAAUCCUAGUUGGAAGUGGGAACUAGGAUGCCAAAGACGUUUUUAAUGCAGAAUGGGUCAUUUUGCGUCCUAUAUUCAAUCGCCUAUCGAUUUGCUUUGUGUUUAGUUUGAUUUUUAUUUUUUAUUUGCUUAAUAUUCUUUGUUCUAACCUUUAUUGAAGAAUCAAAAGAAAACCUCCAUUUUGUAAAAUAUCAUCAGCAGUCAAUCUUAAGCAGAUUGUUUUUUUAAAUUUGUUAGAAACAAAGCAGAAUUAAGGGUCAGAUGAAUUUGAAGUUUACACAAAUUUAGACUUUAAAAGAAAUGAAUUUAAUCCAAACUACCCCAAGCAUAUAUAUAAUUAGUAGCCUUAUAUUGAACUUCAAAUUAGUUUUAAAUAUGAGCAUCUUAUUUUGCUUUAGUUGAGUACAAUCUUAUGAAAUAAUUUGAGUGUCAUUCACAAAUAAAUCCAUAAGCUAUAGCCCUCACAUUAAUAUUAACUUAGUAUAGAAAACACCCUUGAACAUCCGUAGCUUGCCUUAGGCGCGUUUUAUAAUAGAUUAUCGUGGCUAUGGGUACGGUUCCCGUGGCAUAGUCAUGAUACCUAAUUCCCAAAGUCGGGGGUGCAUUUCAUGUAACCCGAUCAUAACAACUUCAAAUAUUAAUAAAAUAAACAUGUCGUGAAUCGCGGGUGUAUUUCAUGUAGCGUGGUUCACGGCUUGUUCCAAAAUAAACAAGUGUACGACAAUCGUAACAUGUUCAAGAAAUAAUUCCAUAAAUCUUAAAAGCGGUUUUUAAAAUAAUUAAAAGGCGGUUAUACAGCUAAAAAUGUACAAUAGGUUUAUACAGCUAAAAAUGUUUUAAAAAGGCGGUUCUUAAAACAUGUAUUAAUCAGAUAAUUAGACCAAUUUUAAUAAUUUAAGCGAUUGUGCUCGAACCACGGAACCCGGGAAUGCCUAAUACCUUCUCCCGGGUUAACAGAAUUCUUUAUCUAGAAUUUCUGGUUCGCAGACUUUUAAAAUAAAGUCGAAAAUUCCUUGAUUUUGGAUUUUAAAAAUAAGUCGGUGACUUGGGACACCAUAAUAAAUAUCCCAAAUGGCAACUCUAUAAAAUUAAAUAAAAUAAUCUCAUUUCGAAUAAUGUCACUUUAAUUGGAAAAACUCCCUUAUAUCCCCUUCGGGUGGUAAAAAAGGAGGUGUGACAGUAACGACCCAACUGGUCGUGUUGAGCAAUUAUGUCCGGUUCGGUAGUUUGAGGUCACUAAUAGCUUCAUAUUAUAUGUAUCGACUUGUGUGCACAGUCCGGGCAUGAAACCGAAAAGCAUUUAUGUGAAAAUAUGAAAAAUAUAGUAAUUCUAGAGUUAAAAUUUGGUUUUUAGUUGACUUUGGUCAAUAUUUUUAGUAAACGGACCCGGAUCUGUGUUUCAACGAUCCCGAAGGUCCGCAAAAAAAUAUGGGACUUGAGCAUAUGCCCGGAAUUGAAUUCCGAGGUCCCUAGUCUUAGAAAAUAAUUUUUGAAGAAAAUUGUUGUGCUGGUUUUUAAAGGAAAUAAAGAAAUGAAUUAAUGUUUGAACUCGUUGGUAUCGGGCCCGUAUUUUGGUUCCGGAGUUUGGUACAAGUUUGUUAUGAUAUUUAAGUCCUAUUUGUGAAAUUUGGUGAGAAUCGGAAUUGAUUUGACGUGAUUUGGACGUUCGGUUGAAAAGUUAGAAAAUCAUAAGUUUUGAGGUUAAAUUCAUAGUUUUUGAUAUUAUUUUGAUGAUUUUAUCAUACGAUCAAGUCUGUAUGAUGUUUUUAGACUUGCGUGCAUAUUUGGUUUGGAGCCCCGAGGGCUUGGGUGAGUUUUGAAUAGGUUUAGGCUAUGUUGCGCUUGUUUUUGGAUGCUUCAUCGUCAAUUCUUCAAGCAAAAAUGAUACCAUAUUGAGAAAAUGAGAUCCAAAUUCAAUUUUUAUUGAACCAUUAGAUCCGUAUCGAAAUUACGGAGUCAUAGAAAAAAGAAUCAUCGAAUUUUUACAUUGUAUGAGGAAGUUAUGUUCAUUUUCGUGUCGGAAAAAAUUGUUGGUUUAUGGUGUUGUCGCAAAUGCGAACUUUUUCAUCGCAAUUGAAUGACCUGUUCACAAAUGCAAACUUUUUAUCACAACUGCGACUUUUGCCAGCCCUGCCUUGUUCGCAAUUGUGAGGGUUCGUAAAUGCGACAUCUGAGGUUUAUUAAGUGAGAUUUUUGACGGGAUUUUCACCCAUUUUUUAAUUUUCUCAAACCCUAAACCUCCAUAUGCGAUUUUCCAAAAACCCAAACUUCUCCAAAUCAUUGGUUAAAUGUCUCUAAUCAAUUUCCAACUAUAUUUUGUGAUUAUAUCUUAGAUUUAACAUCAAAUUCAUGAGAAUCUAAAGGAAAAUUUGGGGAAAAUUUGUAAAAUCUUUCAAAAAUGUAAAAUGAUGAUUUGGGGGACCAAAUGGUGUCGGAAUUAAAUAAUUUUCGUAUGGGUGAACUCGUAUCGGAAUGGGUAUUCAGUGUUUGUAAAUUUUGUCGGGUUCCAAGGUGCGGGCUCAGGGAGUUGACUUUUGUUGACUUUUUGCAAAUUGUAUAAAAAUCAUAGUUUUGUUAAUUGAAAUUGUUUUCUCUUGCAUGUUUGAUGUAUUCAAGUUGUUUUUGGCUAAAUUGAGCCGAGCAUUGAUGAAUUGGUAAAGGAAAAGCUAAAUUAUAUUGAAUUGGCCGGAUUGAGGUAAGUAUCAUGACUAACCUCAUGUGGGGGGGCUUCCCUUUAGGAUUUGAGUCUUCUAUUUUGAUUGUAGUCCGUGUACGCGAGAUGACGAGUGCAUGUUCGAACUUAUUUGUGAAAAGUUGGCCUUUUAGAGUUCUUAGGUCCCUGUAUUCACUGAGUAUGAAGUUGUUCUUGAUAUGAUUUAGCUUCCAUUUGCUAGUUUCACCUAUACAUGCAUUAAUUGGAAUUAACUGUUUUAUAAUUCAUUCUUAUUGCCUAUUUGACUCUUAUUUUGCUUAAUUGAAGAUUUUUACCUCUUCUAUUGUCAUGCUAUCUUUCAUAACUGCUUAUCUUUAUUGGAAACCAUUAUUAUCUCUCCUGUAAUUAUUUAGUCUUAACCGAGGUUAUGAUUAUCUUCCCGCUGCUCAUCCUUAAUUGAAAUUGUUGUAUAUUCUUCGUAAUUUGCCCAACCUUGAAAGAAGUUUAGGUAUCCUAUAUUUAGUUGACAUUUCCUUAUUUGAAAUUAUUUGAUUCGUGUUAGCUUCCUUGUUGUUGAACUACAUAUUGUGGGAUCGUUGCUUCACAUUAUUUUCUUCCUUGUUGAGAUGUUCUUAUUACGCUUAGUAUUCUCUAUUGUGGUUAUUCCUUGUGAUCUAGUUUUACUCUCUCCUUGUGAUCGAAAGUUCUCGAGUUGAUUUACUUGUCGUGUUCUUGUAUAUAUUGUCAUUGUUGCUAUGGUACUUGUUGUGGUGGUGCACGAGGUUUCUGCCGUGCGGUUGUUGAUAUUGUGAUGCACGAGGUUUCUGCCAUGCGGUUAUUGUUAUGGGGUUGCACGAGGUUUCUGUCGUGCUAUUGCUACUAUUGACAUAUUGCAAAUGCGGCGUGACAAGGCGGGAUAUGCAUAUAUAUAUGUGGGGGGGUUGCGCAUGCGGCGAGACAAGGUGCGCUAUGUCAGGGAUUGAUUAUGAUGAUUUGUGAUAGCCUGUGGGCAUUCUUUCUAUUUGAUAUUGUAUUGCGGUACGUUUACCUGUAUGAGUUUUAUCUUGUGGAAGUUGUGAGAAAACAUCUUACGUGUUGUCCGUUCUUUUCCUUAUGCUUAUUAGCUGGUAUGAACUAUGUUAAAGCACUUGUACAAGCAUACACGUAGUUGAACACUCUCAUUGGAUAUGAAGUUCUCCUGACAUUGCUGAGUAUAGAUGUACACCCUCGUCUACUUGUCAUAGAUAUGAGAGUAGCUCUAGUUAGUAAGUGAGUAUCAGCGUGACCAUGAGUUGUGAUAGGGGCACCGAAUGCCAAGUGUUAGGGUUUAGGUAUUGGGACCCGUGAGCUGUAUGUUGUCCGAGGUUUGGUAUUUCGUGGUGUCCGUUGGCUAAGACUUGAUGUGAACACUGUCGUAGGUUCUGAGUUAUUUCUUAUCUUUACUAUAUUUGUGAUUUAGGUUUUGGUGUGAUUUCGCUCGCUCUUCUAUGUCAUUAUUAUGGUAUUUCCGCUGUUACUUGUUGUUUUUCUUCCCUUACUGUGAUUGUUGUAUUGUUAGCCAUAGUGUGUAGUCUUUAUAUGUAUACAUCAUCUUCCGUUGAUCCUAUGCUUAUAUUUGUACAGUUUAUUAGACCAGUAGGUGUCUUGACUGUUCCUCGUCACUUCUCUACCGAGGUUAGUCUUGAUACUUACUGGGCACCGCUGUGGUGUGCUCAUGCUACUUUUUUGCACAUUUUUGUUGUCCAGAUCCAGGUGUGGAUCGUUAGUAGUUGUGCGUAUCAUUGCUGAGGAGACUCAAGGUAAACCUGUUGCUGCGUUCGCAGGCUUCAGAGUCACCUUCUUACUUGUAUUCAACUGUUUUCACUCUUUUCCAAAUAGUUUAUAUAGAAGUGGUAGCUAACUCUGUAGAGCUUAUGACUUGCACUAUCGGGUUUUGGGAAUAUGCUCAUUGUAUAAAAGAUUCAUUCCAGAAAAAAAAUUUAAGUUGUUAUUUAUUAUUGUUGUUCUUCUGUAAAUAUUAGGCUUACCUAGUCCUUAAGACUAGGUGCCAUCACGAAACCCAACGGAGGGAAAAUUGGGUCGUGACAUAAACAUAGUGUAUAUAAACUAUAUACACAUUUAGUAUGUGUAAUGUGUGCACGCCAUGUAUGUACAAUGUANNNNNNNNNNNNNNNNNNNNNNNNNGUGUGUAUGUAUGUAUGUAUGUGUGUGUGUGUAUGUGUUUAUGUGUGUGUAUUAGGAUGUGUAAAAAGUGUAUAUAUAUUUUAUACUAGUGUGUACACAAAUUGUAGUAUGGGGAAACAUUUGAAAGAUUUUUGAUUCGUUAUAUAAAUUUGUAUAUUUUUUGUAUAAG